AAUUGAUGACCCAGACAAGGAC
rnacentral:miRNA from 1 species